CCCUUAGACGUUCUGGGCCGCACGCGCGCUACACUGACCAGUGCAACAAGCAUCCGUCCUUGGCCGACAGGCUCGGGCAAUCUUUGAACGCUGGUCGUGAUGGGGAUAGACUUUUGCAAUUUUUGGUCUUCAACGAGGAAUUCCUAGUAAACGCAAGUCAUCAACUUGCAUUGAUUACGUCCCUGCCCUUUGUACACACCGCCCGUCGCACCUACCGAUUGUAUGGUCCGGUGAAGCCUCCGGAUUGGCGCGCACCUCGGUGCCGCCGAGAAGUUGGCUAAACCUUACCAUUUAGAGGAAGGUGAAGUCGUAACA
rnacentral:rRNA from 1 species